GUUAAGAUGGCAGAGCCCAGUAAUUGCAUAAAAUUUAAAACUUUACAACCAGAGGUUCAACCCCUCUUCUUAACA
rfam:Pan troglodytes isolate Yerkes chimp pedigree #C0471 (Clint) chromosome 17, whole genome shotgun sequence.